rnacentral:rRNA from 1 species
GAAGGGGUCCCAGGAAACAGCCUCCACACCAGACCGUACCCGAAACCGACACAGGUGGACUGGUAGAGCAUACCAAGGCGCUUGAGAGAACGAUGCUGAAGGAACUCGGCAAUCUGCCUCCGUAACUUCGGGAUAAGGAGGCCCUGUCGGUGGGCAACCAUCGGCAGGGGGCACAGACCAGGGGGUGGCGACUGUUUAUCUAAAACACAG